rnacentral:rRNA from 1 species
CGCGAUUCGCCCUUCGGGGUGCCCAGGCGCGAAAACUUUACAAUGCUGGCAACAGCGAUAAGGGGACCUCGAGUGCCAGGAUACAAUCUUGGCUGUCGCGAUGCCUAAAAAGCAUUGCAUAGCAAGGGCCGGGCAAGACCGGUGCCAGCCGCCGCGGUAACACCGGCGGCUCGAGUGGUAACCGCUAUUAUUGGGUCUAAAGGGUCUGUAGCCGGCCGGAUAAGUCUUUUGGGAAAUCCAGCUGCUCAACAGUUGGGCUUUCAGAAGAUACUGUUCGGCUCGAGACCGGGAGAGGUGAGAGGUACUUCGGGGGUAGGGGUGAAAUCUUGUAAUCCUUGAAGGACCACCAGUGGCGAAGGCGUCUCACCAGAACGGAUCUGACGGCAAGGGACGAAAGCUAGGGGCACGAACCGGAUUAGAUACCCGGGUAGUCCUAGCCGUAAACGAUACUCGCUAGGUGUCAGCCACGGUGCGACCGUGGUUGGUGCCGUAGGGAAGCCGUGAAGCGAGCCACCUGGGAAGUACGGCCGCAAGGCUGAAACUUAAAGGAAUUGGCGGGGGAGCAC